rnacentral:rRNA from 1 species
UACGUAGGGUGCAAGCGUUGUCCGGAAUUAUUGGGCGUAAAGAGCUCGUAGGCGGCUUGUCGCGUCGGCUGUGAAAACUCGGGGCUCAACCCCGAGCCUGCAGUCGAUACGGGCAGACUAGAGUGCGGUAGGGGAGACUGGAAUUCCUGGUGUAGCGGUGAAAUGCGCAGAUAUCAGGAGGAACACCGGUGGCGAAGGCGGGUCUCUGGGCCGUAACUGACGCUGAGGAGCGAAAGCGUGGGGAGCAAACAGG